AGGGGCGUCGUUCAGUGGUAGGACCCGGGUCUCCAAAACCCGUGACGGGGGUUCGAUUCCCUCCGCCCCUGCCA
rnacentral:tRNA from 2 species